CCACACUGGCGUACAUACCGGGUCGCAGGGCGGCCGGGCCCCCUGGUGGGCCGGGCCCAGUCGCAGCUGCGAUCCCUGCGACCACGGUAUGUACGCCAGUGGCUGUAAUAUAUAAAUAAAUUGAACAAAGACUGGAUUGCAUUACAGUAGAGAUUGGUUAAUUUAAUGAGGAACAUCUGAAAAAUAUUUAAACAUUUUUGCAGAAG